GUACACAAAAAUGCACAUACUGUGAGCUCGAUGAGUAGGGCGGGACACGUGGUAUCCUGUCUGAAUAUGGGGGGACCAUCCUCCAAGGCUAAAUACUCCUGACUGACCGAUAGUGAACCAGUACCGUGAGGGAAAGGCGAAAAGAACCCCGGCGAGGGGAGUGAAAAAGAACCUGAAACCGUGUACGUACAAGCAGUGGGAGCACAGAGCAAUCUGUGUGACUGCGUACCUUUUGUAUAAUGGGUCAGCGACUUAUAUUCUGUAGCAAGGUUAACCGAAUAGGGGAGCCGAAGGGAAACCGAGUCUUAACUGGGCGUUAAGUUGCAGGGUAUAGACCCGAAACCCGGUGAUCUAGCCAUGGGCAGGUUGAAGGUUGGGUAACACUAACUGGAGGACCGAACCGACUAAUGUUGAAAAAUUAGCGGAUGACUUGUGGCUGGGGGUGAAAGGCCAAUCAAACCGGGAGAUAGCUGGUUCUCCCCGAAAGCUAUUUAGGUAGCGCCUCGUGAAUUCAUCUCCGGGGGUAGAGCACUGUUUCGGCAAGGGGGUCAUCCCGACUUACCAACCCGAUGCAAACUGCGAAUACCGGAGAAUGUUAUCACGGGAGACACACGGCGGGUGCUAACGUCCGUCGUGAAGAGGGAAACAACCCAGACCGCCAGCUAAGGUCCCAAAGUCAUGGUUAAGUGGGAAACGAUGUGGGAAGGCCCAGACAGCCAGGAUGUUGGCUUAGAAGCAGCCAUCAUUUAAAGAAAGCGUAAUAGCUCACUGGUCGAGUCGGCCUGCGCGGAAGAUGUAACGGGGCUAAACCAUGCACCGAAGCUGCGGCAGCGACGCUGAUGCGUUGUUGGGUAGGGGAGCGUUCUGUAAGCCUGUGAAGGUGUGCUGUGAGGCAUGCUGGAGGUAUCAGAAGUGCGAAUGCUGACAUAAGUAACGAUAAAGCGGGUGAAAAGCCCGCUCGCCGGAAGACCAAGGGUUCCUGUCCAACGUUAAUCGGGGCAGGGUGAGUCGACCCCUAAGGCGAGGCCGAAAGGCGUAGUCGAUGGGAAACAGGUUAAUAUUCCUGUACUUGGUGUUACUGCGAAGGGGGGACGGAGAAGGCUAUGUUGGCCGGGCGACGGUUGUCCCGGUUUAAGCGUGUAGGCUGGUUUUCCAGGCAAAUCCGGAAAAUCAAGGCUGAGGCGUGAUGACGAGGCACUACGGUGCUGAAGCAACAAAUGCCCUGCUUCCAGGAAAAGCCUCUAAGCAUCAGGUAACAUCAAAUCGUACCCCAAACCGACACAGGUGGUCAGGUAGAGAAUACCAAGGCGCUUGAGAGAACUCGGGUGAAGGAACUAGGCAAAAUGGUGCCGUAACUUCGGGAGAAGGCACGCUGAUAUGUAGGUGAAGUCCCUCGCGGAUGGAGCUGAAAUCAGUCGAAGAUACCAGCUGGCUGCAACUGUUUAUUAAAAACACAGCACUGUGCAAACACGAAAGUGGACGUAUACGGUGUGACGCCUGCCCGGUGCCGGAAGGUUAAUUGAUGGGGUCAGCGCAAGCGAAGCUCUUGAUCGAAGCCCCGGUAAACGGCGGCCGUAACUAUAACGGUCCUAAGGUAGCGAAAUUCCUUGUCGGGUAAGUUCCGACCUGCACGAAUGGCGUAAUGAUGGCCAGGCUGUCUCCACCCGAGACUCAGUGAAAUUGAACUCGCUGUGAAGAUGCAGUGUACCCGCGGCAAGACGGAAAGACCCCGUGAACCUUUACUAUAGCUUGACACUGAACAUUGAGCCUUGAUGUGUAGGAUAGGUGGGAGGCUUUGAAGUGUGGACGCCAGUCUGCAUGGAGCCGACCUUGAAAUACCACCCUUUAAUGUUUGAUGUUCUAACGUUGACCCGUGAUCCGGGUUGCGGACAGUGUCUGGUGGGUAGUUUGACUGGGGCGGUCUCCUCCUAAAGAGUAACGGAGGAGCACGAAGGUUGGCUAAUCCUGGUCGGACAUCAGGAGGUUAGUGCAAUGGCAUAAGCCAGCUUGACUGCGAGCGUGACGGCGCGAGCAGGUGCGAAAGCAGGUCAUAGUGAUCCGGUGGUUCUGAAUGGAAGGGCCAUCGCUCAACGGAUAAAAGGUACUCCGGGGAUAACAGGCUGAUACCGCCCAAGAGUUCAUAUCGACGGCGGUGUUUGGCACCUCGAUGUCGGCUCAUCACAUCCUGGGGCUGAAGUAGGUCCCAAGGGUAUGGCUGUUCGCCAUUUAAAGUGGUACGCGAGCUGGGUUUAGAACGUCGUGAGACAGUUCGGUCCCUAUCUGCCGUGGGCGCUGGAGAACUGAGGGGGGCUGCUCCUAGUACGAGAGGACCGGAGUGGACGCAUCACUGGUGUUCGGGUUGUCAUGCCAAUGGCACUGCCCGGUAGCUAAAUGCGGAAGAGAUAAGUGCUGAAAGCAUCUAAGCACGAAACUUGCCCCGAGAUGAGUUCUCCCUGACCCUUUAAGGGUCCUGAAGGAACGUUGAAGACGACGACGUUGAUAGGCCGGGUGUGUAAGCGCAGCGAUGCGUUGAGCUAACCGGUACUAAUGAACCGUGAGGCUUAACCUUACAACGCCGAAGGUGUUU
rnacentral:rRNA from 1 species